rnacentral:rRNA from 1 species
GGGAAUACGGCCGCAAGGUNAAACUCAANGAAUUGACGGGGACCCGCACAAGCAGCGAGCGUGUGGUUUAAUUCGAGGCUACGCGCAGAACCUUACCAGGGAUUGACAUGGCUGUGGUAGUGAAGCGAAAGCGGAACGACCCUUCGGGGAGCAGUCACAGGUGAUGCAUGGCUGUCGUCAGCUCGUGCCGUGAGGUGUUUGGUUAAGUCCACUAACGAGCGCAACCCUUAGCCCCAGUUAUACGUGUCUGAGGCGACUGCCGGUAUUAAGCCGGAGGAAGGUGGGGAUGACGUCAAGUCCGCAUGUCCUUUAUACCCUGGGCUACACACACGCUACAAUGGCCAGUACAAUGGGUCGCCAAGCCGCGAGGCGGAGCCAAUCCUAAAAAGCUGGUCUCAGUUCGGAUUGCAGGCUGCAACCCGCCUGCAUGAAGUCGGAGUUGCUAGUAACCGCAGGACAGCUAUACUGCGGUGAAUACGUUCCCGGGUCUUGUACACACCGCCCGUCACGUCAUGGGAGCUGGCAACACCUGAAGCCGGUGGGCGAACCGCAAGGACGCAGCCGUCGAAGGUGGGGUCGGUGACUGGGACGAAGUCGUAACAAGGUAGCUGUAGCGGAAGCUGCGGCUGGAUCACCUCCUU